rnacentral:rRNA from 1 species
AUUCUACGGGAGGCAGCAGGGGGGAAUAUUGCACAAUGGGCGCAAGCCUGAUGCAGCCAUGCCGCGUGUAUGAAGAAGGCCUUCGGGUUGUAAAGUACUCUCAGUAGGGAGGAAGGUGGUUAAGCUAAUACCUUAAUCAUUUGACGUUACCUACAGAAGAAGCACCGGCUAACUCCGUGCCAGCAGCCGCGGUAAUAAU